UUUACUUUACGUAUACAAAUUCAUAUAAUUCUCAUAAUAUGGGUGAGAAGUUUCUACUAAUGACCGAUAAUCAUUGUCUAUGAAGAAAGUGUAUCUAGGG
rfam:Atopostipes suicloacalis DSM 15692 genome assembly, contig: EJ15DRAFT_scaffold00035.35